AGUGAACGCUGGCGGUGUGCCUAACACAUGCAAGUCGAGCGGCAGCACAGUAAGCUCUUGCUCCUACGGGUGGCGGCUGGCGGAUGGGUGACGCGUAGAUCGCCUUCCUCUUUUUCGUGGGUGAUUUCGGGGAGCAACUGAUGCUAAUACCUCAUACGAUCUACGGGUGAGAUCAACGGAGCUUCGCACUUUUCCUGUCACAUUGAGCCGGUGUCGGAUUAGCUAGUUGGCGGGGUAAGGGCACACCAAGGCGACGAUCCGUAGCUGAUCUGAGAGGAUGAUCGGCCACACUGGAACUGAGACACGGUCCAGACUCCUACGGGAGGCAGCAGUAGGGAAUCUUCCACAAUGGGCGCAAGCCUGAUCGAGCAACGCCGCGUGAGUGAAGAAGGUCUUCGGGUUGUAAAGCUCUGUUGUUGGGGAAGAACAGCUGCGUGUGUAACCCCCGAUGUCCUGACGGUACCCAAAGAGAAAGCACCGGCUAACUACGUG
rnacentral:rRNA from 1 species